rnacentral:rRNA from 1 species
UAAGGAAUAUUGGUCAAUGGACGAAAGUCUGAACCAGCCAUCCCGCGUGCAGGAAGAAGGGGCUCUGCCUUGUAAACUGCUUUUGAAUGGGACGAAAGAUACAUUUGCGAAUGUAGUUGACGGUACCAUUAGAAUAAGCACCGGCUAACUCCGUGCCAGCAGCCGCGGUAAUACGGAGGGUGCAAGCGUUAUCCGGAAUUACUGGGUUUAAAGGGUGCGUAGGCGGUGAUAUAAGUCAGUGGUGAAAGGCCGUAGCUUAACUAUGGGAUUGCCAUUGAUACUGUAUGACUUGAAUCAGGUUGAGGUUGGCGGAAUGUGGCAUGUAGCGGUGAAAUGCUUAGAUAUGCCAUAGAACACCGAUUGCGAAGGCAGCUGACUGGACCUUUGAUUGACGCUGAGG